rnacentral:lncRNA from 1 species
GGCUAAACAAAUAGCAUACCAUAUCAUUCUCAAGGUUUAUAUCAGUAGCAUGCAUUAUAGGUAUUUCAUUAAGCUAGGCAUGACUUUUGAAUCCUAACAUAUAGACGUGCAAGACUUUGGAAAGUUGUAAUUUUUACCAGCUGAAGCUGCUUUUCCAUAUGAAUCUUUCAAGUGCAAAACCAGUUUAGAACAAGUUGACUUAUGAUAAUCUUGUACGGCAAGCUCCAUGGCAAUUUUUUGCUCUU